CUGCGGCGCAGGCUUCAACCGGCGCCGUGGUUUUAACCUGAGCAGUAGCUCGCAAAGCUGCCGCUCUUAUUUUGAAGAAAUGAGACCAGCAGGGGCAUCCGGGCUGGUACCCGGACUAUCUGCGUGAUUCCCUGGUGACUUGAUACGGUCGCUGCACACGACUAUUUCAGGAUUGCUCUGGUGUCUUCGCCGGUGGUGUCCCCUUACCGAGGGUGACCA
rfam:Pseudomonas floridensis strain GEV388 GEV-388_contig_112, whole genome shotgun sequence.